rnacentral:lncRNA from 1 species
UCCUCCUUCUCUUCCAUCAUUUUAUCAUUCCUCUACUCCCUUAUCUUCUUCUUCUUCUUCUUCUUGAGCCAGAGAUCAGUGCUGGAGGAAGGAAUCUGAUGGAAAGGAAAUCCUACUUAUAUAUGAAAAUUUAUCGAGAGAUGUUGUUUUGGCGGUCGUACACAAAAUACUAAUGAAAGUUUUAAUUUAACUGUUUGGCGAUUGGCUCCGAAACAUUUACAUUCUGGUUUAAAAAUCGUUGAGGUCACGGCAUAUUUGGUUGCUUGCUUAUUCAAUGAAGGAAGUUCGAGUAUUUGAUUAGUUAUGAACGAGCUUAAUAUUAUCGUUGGUAACCGAAGCUUCAGUCAUGCCCAAGAAAUAGAUAGUUGACACGUAACCUGAUAAAAUCGACGCAACUCUAUGGACAAUAAGGAAGCUCGAAAAGCUCGAAAAGAAAAGCUGCAAACCGAAAACGAUACAUAUGAAGCUGAUGAAGGACUGCAAUAUGUUGCUGGAAUAGCUGAUUAACUAAUGAAAAUUGUGAUCUUCAGGAUGUACACAAAUUGUCUAGCCGGAUGGAGACUUGCAAUGCGCGGCAACUGAUAUCUUCGUUUUUUUUCGAGGAAAAUAUUUCAAAAUUUCGGAAUAUACUCUUAAAUAUAUGUAUAAAAUGACCUCAAGAUAUAAAUAACAUUUAUAUAUUCCUUAUGUGUUAAAAAAAUUCAUGAAAAUCACUAAAAAUACGCCAUCUUACACCUAUUUCCCCCUUGAAAAUUUCAUGAGUUUAUUGUACCUGUUCCCGUGGCAAGGAGAACUUCUUAACGUAACUGUACAGCACUGGGUUGUUUACAUUUUAACCGAUGGCGACGUUGCCAAGUCUACGGACCUGUUGCCUACGCCGUCGUCCGUCGUCGUCGUGGUUACAUUAAUCAAUUCCUUAAAUGACGUACGUGCUUAAUUAAUCCAUACUUUGUAAAUUUGGUCGUCUUUGUCAAGUUCGAUAAGAUACUUUUUCCAAAAAUUCGAGUACCUACUAUCGCUUUAUGUUAUUUAAUAUACGUACCAUUUAUUAUGAAAACGAUGUAAUUCAAAUUUUAAAC